rnacentral:rRNA from 1 species
UGCCAGCCGCCGCGGUAAUACAGAGGGUGCGAGCGUUAAUCGGAAUUACUGGGCGUAAAGCGUGCGUAGGUGGUUUGAUAAGUCAGGUGUGAAAUCCCAGAGCUCAACUUUGGAAUUGCGCUUGAGACUGUCAAGCUAGAGUGUUGUAGAGGGUAGCGGAAUUUCCGGUGUAGCGGUGAAAUGCGUAGAGAUCGGAAGGAACACCAGUGGCGAAGGCGGCUACCUGGACAGAUACUGACACUGAGGCACGAAAGCAUGGGUAGCGAACAGGAUUAGAUA